rnacentral:lncRNA from 1 species
GGAAUGGAACCCAGGUCCUCGCACCUGCUGGGCAAGUGCGGUACCACUGAGCUACAUCCCCAGCUGGAGCUUGGGCAUCGCUGAGCAAUAUGGUGUCCUGGAGUCUAACCGGAUGGUAGCUGGAGCAUUAUGAGACCUGCUGGGAAACAAUUGAAUUAGAGCCCAGGUCUCCUGGAUCUUCGCUACUGGACUGUUGACUUGAUGCUACUAAUCAGGGCCUUGUGGACACCCAUGAGGUGCCUGGAGAGGCAGCCGACCCAGCUGGUGAUUUUCUCAGAGGAGGCACUACCUGCGCUGAAACAGAAAUCAUUAUUCUUGGCAAAUAUCCCUCAAUGUUCUGGGGCAAAUCAACACAAAUCAAUCACUGAACAGCAGCACAUGAGUUGCUUGGGGUGUUUUCAGUUAGUGCCAACUUGGUGGCAGGCCUGUGUGGGGCAUUCACUCACUGUCCUCGUAGUCACAGUGGUUGCCCUGCUGAGACUCAUUUAGGAAAGCCAGGUGACCAGAAGAGUUCUUUAUAGGUGUCCUCAAACAAAUCCCACACCCUGCCAUGGUGCAAGACCCUGGAAUCGCCAUCAAGUGGGCAUACGGGCAGCUACAAACACGUGUGCGCGUACUCGUGAUUCAGCAGGUCCCCAUUCAACACAGGAUUACAGGUGCAUGCUGGGCCCUGACCCAGGGCAGAACACAAUAAUGAGGAAGAAAUUCAGUGAUCUCCCCGUGGAUCCUAGCGUGUAGUGAGAAGCAUGAACCAAAUAAUUAUACGACGAAACCCUAAAUGGAAGAAGAGAGGCAGGCGGUAGUGGGGAGUGUGUACUAGGAGGGCUAAGAAAGGGAAAGGGAAGCUUUGCUGGGGAAUGAUGCUUGCAAAGAGAGCUGAAGGAUUAAGAUGGCUAACUUGGUUUAAGGCAAGAGAAGAAAAUUCCAGAAACAUGGAGUGGUGGGUGCAAAGGCCCUGAGGUGAGAGGAAAUAUGCAUGUUCCAGGAACUGAGAACAGGCCCUUGUGGCGGUAACUGAGGAGUGAGCAUGUUGAGAUAGGGGUGAAGAAGUUCAUCCUCAUCCAGGCUCCAUAGAGUCUGAUAAGCAUCUACACCAACAGGGAACUGUGGGAGGGUUUUAAGAAGUAUUUUUGGACACGUGUGUUAGAUGUGGCUGAUUUCCAUUUGGAAAGGACCUCCGUGGCAGUGACUCAGGACAGGCAGGGAUGAUAAUGAGGGAGCAGACAGAAGCUGCAGAGAGAUGGUAGAAACUCUUUUGGAGAUGGUGGAUGAAAGCCGCUCAAGAAAAAAUUACAAGGUGUAGUGUGGGAUUUAGACGUGGAGGUGAUGGCGGCUACUGGCCAAGGGUGGCAUUUACAUUCCUGACUUGGUGCAGCUCUCUGCUGAGAUGGGCAGGGCAUAGAGAGCCCUGAGGUCUUCCUUAGACCCCCCUGGGCCUGCCUUAAGUGCCCGCGGCCAAGCCUCACCAAUGAAGGAUGAAGAGCUGCCUUGGAUUCCGUGCCACCACUCCCGCAGGACCAAGCUUCAGACCUCUCAAGAACUGCCACCAAAUUGCGACCUUUUGAGUCCUCCUCGGGAAGGUCAAUCCACCUCUGAAAGAAAUGCGAUUUCUCGGAGACCAAGUCUGAGUCGGGUUCGCUCUCCCUUUAGUGUUAAAUGACAAUAUCAGCAGCCGCCAUGCCGAGGCCCUUGUGCCAGGUGUUUAACAUUUGCAGCUCUGUUCAAGUUCAGUUCCACCAGCAAGCGCCCUGCAGUCCUGGCUCAGCCACGGAGGAGUCACUGAUGACUCUGACCCUGCUCACCAGGGGCCUGCUGCGCUGGCCCAGGCCCUUGGGAUGCAGGACAGGCCAUGAACCCGCCCUCAGAGUAGGAACCACAAGGCGCUGUUUUCCCCGCUAAGGGAAGGAAGAUGGCUUGAGGGUCCCUCUUCAUUUUUAUGAUUGUGUGACAUGGGGACAGGCUGCAUGUACUCUGUUGCAAUCAGAGACUCACAUCACUGUCCUCAAAUGGUCAUGUGUGUGUCCUUCCCAGUGCCAGGCACUUACCCGUGUAUGCCAUUGUUCCUGGCUGGAAGAGAUGCCCUCCCAGGGGGAAGGUGGCCACAUCAAGACCUGGCUUAAGCAGAAAGAAGACUUAGAGGCAGUAGGUCCUGGAUUGCAGAGGGAGAGGAGAAUGAGGCAGGCUUCCUGGAGGAGGAGGCACUGGCUUUGGGGUUUGGCUGGGGACGAGUGAGGGUCUAGGAGGUAGAGGACAGGAGGGAGGAACAUUGGGGAUAGAAGUAAAAGUCCAAGAACAGGAAGCCUGGGGAUGGACAGAUGGCCAGGGGCUGCUGGAAUGGAGGGCACAGGGUGGGAGGCAGCAGAGAAGUGACAGAAAUGAGGGAAGGCUCUGCAGAUGCUGCAGCUGGGGCAGAUCACCCAGAAGGGAGUGGAAACUCAAUUUCUAUAAUUUAGAAAAAUGACUCAGGUUCUUUUGUGGAAAGGUAAAGAGUGGGUAGGAAAGGUGAGAUUUUAGAGGUGCAUGUCCAGAUUUUUGGCAGCUGCUAUGGGUUGAAUUGUGACUCCCCAAAAGUCUUAAUGGUGACUGUGACCUUAUUUUGUAAUAAGGUCUCUUUUCUUUCCCCCCUUCUUUUCUCUCUGUCUCUCUCUCUCUGUCUCUGUCUCUCUGUUUGCAGUGCUGGGGAUGGAACCCAGGGCUUCCCACAUGGUAGGCGAGGGCUCUCUCCACCACUAAACUACACCCUCAGUCCAAUAAUAAGAUCUUGACAGCUGUAAUCAAGA